ensembl:piRNA 21ur-4064 ncRNA
UAUGAAAAGAAACAAGCAGCA